GCAUAUCAAUAAGCGGAGGAAAAGAAACCAACUGGGAUUACCUUAGUAACGGCGAGUGAAGCGGUAAAAGCUCAAAUUUGAAAUCUGGUACUUUCAGUGCCCGAGUUGUAAUUUGUAGAAUUUGUCUUUGAUUAGGUCCUUGUCUAUGUUCCUUGGAACAGGACGUCAUAGAGGGUGAGAAUCCCGUUUGGCGAGGAUACCUUUUCUCUGUAAGACUUUUUCGAAGAGUCGAGUUGUUUGGGAAUGCAGCUCAAAGUGGGUGGUAAAUUCCAUCUAAAGCUAAAUAUUGGCGAGAGACCGAUAGCGAACAAGUACAGUGAUGGAAAGAUGAAAAGAACUUUGAAAAGAGAGUGAAAAAGUACGUGAAAUUGUUGAAAGGGAAGGGCAUUUGAUCAGACAUGGUGUUUUUUGCAUGCACUCGCCUCUCGUGGGCUUGGGCCUCUCAAAAAUUUCACUGGGCCAACAUCAAUUCUGGCAGCAGGAUAAAUCAUUAAGAAUGUAGCUACUUCGGUAGUGUUAUAGCUUUUUGGAAUACUGUUAGCCGGGAUUGAGGACUGCGCUCGGCAAGG
rnacentral:rRNA from 1 species